UGAUGAGGAUGAGGACGAGGACGAGGAUGAUGAUGAUGAGGAUGAGGACGAGGAGGAUGAGGACGAGGAUGAGGAGGACGAGGACGAGGACGAAGACGAGGACGAGGAUGAUGAUGAGGACGAGGAGGAUGAGGACGAGGAUGAGGACGAGGACGAGGACAAGGAUGAUGAUGAGGACGAGGACGAGGACGAGGAGGAUGAGGACGAGGAUGAGGAUGAUGACACCUCACACCUGCUCCACUCUUCUGAUGGAGGUUUCCUUGUUAAUACCCAGCGGGGCGGGAUUACGAAGGAAUACACAUUCAAUUGCUUAAUCUCUGAGGACAACAAGGCCGUGUGUGUGUGUGUGUGUGUGUGUGUGUGAGGAGAAAAACCCUCACUGUCAUCUUUUCAUCUCUCCUCUUCUGUCCAGCUCCGUAGCUCCAUCUUCUCCGUCAGUUUGUGUCACUUUGGUUCCGCCACACGCCAAACGUCUUCAAGUCCCCGGCGAGCUCCUCAAUUAUUUCUUUUUCCCCCCUCCCCUACUCUCCGGGCGGCCUUGUCAUCUCACAUCAGCGUCAGCUGAUACUGACGUCGCCUGCUGCAAACUCGAGGUUGCCGUGGCAACGUCCCGGUUUGUUCAAAGGCUGCGGAGCAGGCGGCGUAGACGUGACCUUUACGGUAUCAAGGGUGACUUUACCUUUUCAUCUGUUGAUUUAAGGCGUAAACGUAAAACCGCCUCAACACUCAAAGCUCAAGAAUAGAAGUUUAGGAUUUGGUCUUUAAAAAGGGAACUCGUGCAUGUGUCAAAAAGGUGGAAUAGGUUCCAUGCACGGUGUUCUCCUCUACUGGAACCCCUCGGGUUCUGAAACGGACCAUAAGGCCGAGGAGCGCUUUAGGGCGGGGCUACCUUGGGAUUGACUGGUCGCUACCUGAGCAGUAUCUCUACGUCACUCCUCUGCAGUCCAGAUGUGGUCACUUCCGGGUCGCUUCUUGACCUUACUGCCAUCACGAAGACAAAGUUCUCCUCAUCAUCACAAAGUGGUCGUUUUAACCGCGACAAGGAUCGUUCUGU
ensembl:lncRNA